rnacentral:lncRNA from 1 species
UUGAACCAUUUGAAGGCAAACCCUAGAGGCCUUUUUCUCAACGCCGCUCGACAGCUCUCGGGCUCACCAACGCUCCGAUUACGACGGAGUUCGGCGGCUCCGACGACAAGGUACCCCUCUCCCUCUCACUAUUUUUAUCUCAUGCAUGAAAUCAAAAAAAGGCGAAGAACACACAAAGAAAACUGAAAAUCGCUUCUAUUUUCUGGUUUUUAUUCUCGAAUCUACAUAAAAAUAAGAAGAAUAGACCGAAAGAAAUGAUAAUAGAAAGAAAAAUGAAGAACUUUUGAAAUAACCUCUGCUCUUUUCUAUUCUCUUUGUUCAAUCCCCCUUUUACAGCAUAUUCGGCUUUUCGAAAGAAAGAAAGAAAAAACAUAAAAGAAAAUCCCCCUACAUUUGUUUGGUUUUUGGGCUUAUAUAGCCAAAUACAUCUUUUGUGCUACUGUUUAUUUCUGCUAUCUCUGUUUCUGUCUAUUGGCUGUUGUUUUCGUCUAUUUUGCAGGUCAUGAGGAGUCAACGGGCAGAAACCAUUGCCAUUUUGGUGCAACCUCGGUGAAGGAGUCGUCAUCGGGCGUCGUGCAUGCUGAGGGCGCACAUGGGGGAGGCUGCGGCGCAAGAAAGGAAGGGAAACCUUAAGGUUUCUAAAAAUUUUAAACUCUUUGGGCUUAUCGGGCUUGAUUUUUUUGGGCCAGUUGGGCCAUUUGUAAUGAACUAUAAAUUUUUAGUUUAUUCUGCUGGUAUGGGCUCGGGCUGAAAUUGGGCUGUACAAGUAGCAUUUAGAAAAUCACCGAAAAAGAAAAUCAAUUUUUAGUAGUAUUUGAUAGGUUUUAUUUUCAUCACAAAAAAAGUGUUUGACUUUCAUUAUUUUUUAUUUUUAAUUAUUUUAUUAAUAUUAUUUGAUAUUAUUAAUAUUUUUGUAUUGUGACGUUGAAUGAAGGAACAAAGGCAAAAUGCAAUUAAUUGCAUUAAAAAUUAAACAAGUUUGACAAACAAGAGAUCGAUGAUGACGAG